UCUAAUUGGUGGUAAACAGCAAGUAUUUAAUGAAAUGAUACGUACCAGAUCUAUUGUAUUAUUGUUACAGUUUCUGUAGGGGUUAUUCUACGGUUCUUCUCAUUGUUGUACUGAACACAUAUAUACAAUGAACAUUCAGCUAUCAUCACAGAUUGCACACUAGAUACUGUAGUAAUGCAGUCUAAUACAAGACCAUCAAAAUAAUACAUUAUUUAAAUUUGAUCAGUCCUUAUUUUUUUUUCUCCCAUAAAGAAUACAAAAAGGCCACCCAGAGUUGGGGCACAUCUCCAGCACUCCCAUCGUAACUGUACACCGACCUAUCGCUUGGGGGGUUAAUAAUGGCUUAAAACAACUCAAAUGCGUUGAGAAAAAGAAGAAAAAAAAUCACGAAAAAAAUUAUUAAAAUAAACCCUAAAAAUAAUGCAGUUAAAACAUGUACAAUGCAACUGGACACAAAGUCAGUUGUGUUAAUCCACACAAAACACGUAACAACUUCCUGACAGAAAAAUAAUAAUAAACACAAAAUUAAAAACCCAGUUAAUAAUUGCAUAAAUACUUUAUACAGUUCAUUUCACUCUGGAGAAGAAAUGCACCCUUUUCUUUAAAAUGAUAGCCUGACAACAUAAAAUUGCAUUCGAUAAAAAUCCUGAUUCUUAUUCCUCUCUAAACUUUUUUGUUAUUGUUUUUUUUGUACAUGGAGAAGGUGGAAAUAAUGAACUCAGAUGAAUAAUAAUAAUAAUAAUAAUAUUAAUAAGCCAUCUGGUUUAUUUUGAAGUUGCUUAGUAACAGACAUGUUAUCAGCUGGCUGCUAUGAUACAGUACAUAUUUAGAGUGAUUUACCAAUAGUGAUAAGAGUGCAUAUUACACGGAGGGGGGGAAAGUCGUCGCACUGUAAUCAAUUAUUAACUACUCAUUGACUGCACUUGUGUAACAGCUCUUUAAGUGUUUUAGCUGUCAGAAGAGACUCUCCAAAAAAGUAAAAAAUAAAAUUAAAAUAAAGUGUAAAAAUAAAAAGUGAUUUCUAGUAAAGAAAGCAGCACUUCAAUGCACCGUUGCCCACAGCAUCAUCAACAUACAGAACACGACGAAUGAACGAGGAGGGAUACAGAUCGAUGACGAACCAUGACGAAAACAAACUAUGUUCGUAUUUCACGGUCCCCACAUAUACAUCGAGAAAUAUUCCUAACAUACGCCACACGUAGCUAGCUAACGACAUCUAAGAGUGAAAUGUGACGAGCAAAUCGCUUUUCUUGUGACCGACAGAGUGGAUUUCAUGCUGCAAUCAACUACAGAGAUCGUCCUCAGUCAAAUAUAUAUAGUAGAUGUAAAACACCUAGAACAUUUUAGAUUAUCUCUCACUAACACACACUACUGGGUCUCAUCUCUAGUUUCUACCGCUGCUGUUCCAUAGGUCUCUCUGGUUAACUGGGUCUCAUCUCUAGUUUCUACCGCUGCUGUUCCAUAGGUCUCUCUGGUUAACUGGGUCUCAUCUCUAGUUUCUACCGCUGCUGUUCCAUAGGUCUCUCUGGUUAACUGGGUCUCAUCUCUAGUUUCUACCGCUGCUGUUCCAUAGGUCUCUCUGGUUAAC
rnacentral:lncRNA from 1 species